rnacentral:lncRNA from 1 species
AUAUUUCUGAAUUGCUAGAGGACUCUAAAGUUGACAAAGGACUUGCAAAUAGAAACAAGGAAUCAGAUGAACCUAUUCCAGCAUCAAAUAUUGUUUCUGACAGAACUUCUCUUCCCUCACAAACUCCUGCAUCUAGACCACUUGUACCUCCUGGUUUUGCUAGCACAGUUUUGGAGAGGAAUGUUGGAACCAAAACUUCAAUGCACUCCCAUUCUUCACAGGUAAGUAUCACAUAGGUCUUCAGAAUUUAGAACACCCAUUAUGAUCUCUGUUGUACCUUUUGGUAUCUAAUUUUAAUUGUAAGUGUCAGUAACCAGUUCGAGUAUUAUUCCUUUUUGCUAUCACAUGAUCUUUAAUCGCAACAAACUGUUCAUGUAUUGGUUGCUUUCAAAUUUUGUUCUCUACCAACUUUGCUGUUACAAUUAUGCUGCUUCUUAAUAUAUAAUACAACAGGAAUGAAGUAUGAAUUAGUCAAAAUGAGGCAAUUUUGAAUUUUCCAUUAUUUUGGUCGGAAUGGGGAGAGGAGCAAGUUUAUCACUUAAAACCAGUGCGUGAAAUUGGUUAUCCGUAUAUAACUGAAAUUCAGUGGGAAGUUUUUAACCGAGGACUUCCUUUUUCCUCCUUAAUUUGGAUUUGACUGAAAAAAAAUCCGUGUUGUUUUAUAGUAGAUGUCUGUAUAUGACACCAAUAGUACACAUGCAGAACUGAGACUCAAUGAAGAUGAUAUAUUUUUGCAAGUGACUUAAUGGAAGUAUAGUUUUGACAAAGGUUACGUGGCGCUCUGCUCUAGCAUGUUAUUGCUCUGUUCCUUGUUUUGGCCAAUAUGCUAUUCUUCUUAUAUUGUAACUUAGGAGAUGAUCCCAUUAGGAAAAAGCGUGUUCCAAUUAUAUAGAAUGAUGUUGUGUCUCAUAUUUUUCUCAUAAAUUGUUUGCCGUUACACCCAAUUAGUAAUUUAUCUUCUGUUAUGCUUCUAUAGGUUGGUAAUUCUGAAAUCGACAGCAACCUUUCAGAGUCCAAAGGCAGCCUUCUUUCUAAUGGGAUUUCUGAUGAUCUUGCGGGCAAGCCUUCUAAACCGAACGAAGAGGAAACUUUGAGUGAGCGGAGGCUUGGAAUUAAAAACAUUCACCCUUUGGACAAUAAUAAGAGUGUGAAGGCUCCAACAUUCUCAUCAGCUUUAGAUAAACUUAAUGACACAAUAAGCAAGGAUUCUCAAAUAUACAAUAGCUCCAGUCUUUCGGAAGCCUUUAUGGCCCCAGGGAACAAUGAAGUUACUGAACUUGAUUCCAAAAAGCUGGUUGCUGAUAAAAUUGUGACUGAAACCAACCAGGAUGGUUCAAUUUCAAUUCUAGACAAGCUUUUUGGAAAUGCUUUAACAGCAAAUGAAGGUGGCUCUACUAAUUACACUGAGGUAUUAUUAUGGUUAUGAGACAUUGCUUUCAAAUUCAAAAUCAUAUAUUGAAUUCAUCUGCACUAAUUGACUUAGUUAAAUGCUCCUUUUUAAUUGCCCUGCUUAAUGUAAUUAAAACCUGGUUGAUCAUUGAACUAUACAUCUUAUCUACGUGUAGUUUAUUUAGGUAUUUUAUUUUAAUCAUUUUACUCCCUGUUUUCCUUGAAGUGAUUAACAACCUUUAAUAUCUCUUGUUCUUCAGCCUAAUGACAGCAAUGCAGAUGAGACAUGGGCCCCUGACACUUUCCAUUCUUCUAAGUUUGCUCAUUUGUUUCUUGAUGAAGGUUUGUUGGUGCUUGUUACAAGUAAUCUGGUUUUAAGUGAAUCUGCUUAGUUUUUAAGUAAGAAGUAUGAUCUAAUAAUCUUCUUUUCAUCUUGUCAUCGCAGAGAAGAAAACUAUAGAUGAUCUCUCCCUUGGCAGGCCAAAAGACUUGCUCUCAUUUAUUCAGGGUGGCGAGAAAGGUGGUUCCCAUGAUAGACUAGCUACUAAGCAUGGGGAGUUGAACUUUCCAUUUCAAAACUCUGAACUUGCGGACAAGCAUGUUAGAUCAAAUUUGCUGUCUCCUAGAAUUGAAAACUCUGAGCAAUCAUGGAAUAUUAAGGAUGUUAAUAAAUCAGCUGCAGUUCCAACUGUCCUCACAUGUGAGGAUCUUGAAAAGUCAAUUCUAUCAGAAAGCACUGGAAAUGAUCCAAGGUUGCCUCCUGCUAUUGAAGGAUGUAAAAUUCCUGAUGCCAAAUGUGAGAAGCAAGAAGUUAUUGUCGACAAUCAUGCAUCCCAGCACCUUCUUUCAUUGUUACAAAAUAAAACAAGUAUGAAAAAUAUAGUAUCAUCGGCCAAUCUUGACAUCGGGUCUUCAGAAAGGGUAAACACUAUUGAAACAACAAGUGCUGAUACGGCUAGUUGUGAUUCAAUAGACACAAAUGCAGAAAAUGCUUCCAGUUCAGGGAAGAGUCUGACUCUUGAAGCACUUUUUGGAAGUGCUUUCAUGAAGGAACUACAAUCAGUUGGAGCACCAGCUUCUGUUCAGAGGGGCUCAAUAGAGUCUGCACGAGUUGAUGUAUUCAAAUCUAACAGGCUUCCCCUUCAUGUUACAGAUGAUAGUCUUCUUCCUUCCUCAGGUCACGUUGGGUCAAACAGGACUAAUUUUGAAAAAAAUAUUUCACCAUUUACCCAGAGAGAGCAAAUGAAAUCCGAUGGCAUUGAAGAGCAUUUGUUAGGCUAUAAUGAUGCUCCAUCCGCAGCGGAUUCAUCACAUAUCCGAGCUGGAUUAGGAUCUAAACUUGGUGGUUUUGAUGGAUCUGCUAAAAUUGGGCUUCCUGAAGAGGAUAGUUUGCUUGGUGUCAGUAAUCCUUUGAAACUCCAGAAUUUCAUGGCUGGUGGUGUAAAAGCAGAGCUAUCGCCCUCCCAAGAGACACCAAUUGAUGUUGCUGAGAAGCUAGCAGCUUUGAAGGCCGUUUUCCAGGAUGAAAGACCUGUUGUAGGAGGGAAAGAAGUUCCAGUUUUUCUUCCCGGUCCCUAUGACUUGAGGGAGCCAGAUAUUCCAUUACAUAACCAAAACGUCCAAGCAUCUUCUCCUCAGCUUCAUCCUCAAUUGAAUCAUGGAGGUCCUUUGUUUCAUUCGUUAGAUUCUCAUCAUUCUAGUAUCGGUUCUCAGGUGAAGUUCAUGGGUCCAGAAGGCUUGGUCUAUCAUGAUGCCCCACCAAAUCAUCAAUUAUCUGCAAAUAUGCUUCGUCCUCUCCAUCAUCCUAGCAGUGGACUAACUGGAUUUGAUUCUCCAAUUCAUCAUCCUAUGUUACAACAAAUGCAUAUGCCUGGAAACUUUCCUUCACCCCACUUGCAACGACGGAUUCCUGGUGUUGCACCGCCAGCACCUCAUUCAAAUAAUCAGAUGACUGGGUUACAGGAAAUGAAUCCAAUGCAUGGUUUUCAAUUGGGGCAUGGUCAACGGCAGCCUCAACCCAACUUUGCUGGUCUUGGAAUGCCUCCAGGUAAAGUAUUUAAUACAUGUCUUGUUUCUUUCUCAUCCUUGCCAAUUUCAACUUUGGAAAACCUGCCCGCCCAUUUCAUUCUUGGAAAUGCCUACAGUUAGACUUAGUGUUACAGAUUGUUUUAAGGCUUAAAGUGAUUUAAGAAGAAUGAUAAUUACCAUGCCAAAACCUUAUUGCAUGUAACUGCAAACUGUUUACUUCAUCCAGGACCCCCCAAUUCUGCUGGAAAAAUGAAAAGAAAAUUUCCGGCAAUCUGUUGUCGGUUGUCUUGUUUGUGAACUGCUGUUACCAUAAUGAUUACAUUUCAUGUUCUAUUUGCGAAUACCAUGUACAUUAUUAUUUGUUUUAUGUUUCAGGUCAUGACGUUGGCAGUGGGAGCCAUCAUCCAGAGGCAUUGCAGAGGCUUAUUGAGAUGGAGCUCAGGUCAAAGUCGAAGCAGCUGAGCCCUUUCGGUGCACCCAGCCAUGGUCAAGGCCAAGGGAUGUAUGGCCACGAGCUAGACAUGGGUUUUCAGUAUAGAUAAUGACAUUUGGUUGUAGUUUUGCCCUAUCCCUACUAGAUUGUUUCUCUCCGAGAAUUGAGGAUAGGUUUGAUGUUCUUAAUUCACGAGGGAUUAUUGUGGCUCACUGUAACUAAAAUGAUCAUUAUCAUACUUGCUAUUGGCUGUUGGUUGCAAUUUGCCCUUUUAUGCUUUGUGUAGUGUGUUUUUCUUUCCUUUAAGGGUUAAAUCACAUUUUAGGUUUGAACUCGGCAACUAUUUUCAUAUUGGGGCCUGAAUAUCUUUUUUGUUUCAAGUUAGGUCCUGAAUUUGAUAAUUGUUCUUACAUUGGAGUCUGAACUUUUUUUUAGUUCAAGUUAGACCUUGAACUUGGCAAAUGUUCUAACAUUGGGAUUUCAAAUUUUUAUUAUCCAAAUUUGUUUUUGAAAACUUUAAAGUUUAAGUCUCAACUUGGGAAUAAUUGUCAAGUUUAAGCUUCAAAAUGAGAAUAAUUAUUAAGUUCAAGGUUUAACUUGGACAAAAACAAAUUUAAAAGUUCAGAUAUCAAUAUGAGAAAAAGUAUCAAGUUCAGGUCUAAAAAAGUAAUUUAACUUUUCGGAUAUUAUUCUAACCGAAAAAUUCUUAACGAACUGAAAAAGAUUGAUCCAAACCUUACAAUUUAAAUCUUUAUUAUUCGCAUAUAGAACCUUCUAAUGUAAUUAUCCAGCUGAUCUCUUGCAUAUGAAUUAAGCUAAGACAUCCAAAAUUCUCCUGUAAUCAGAUCUUUGAUGAAACAGAUGAAACACGGCCAUGGAAUCAGGUUUUCUCAUAUGUCUAUUUGUGCAUGCAUUCUGGAUUCUUCUCUGCACUAUGGAUAUCUUAUCAUCAAAUACAAACAGCACCUGACCCACCUUAAAUUUUUGGUGCUUCUUCACUUCAGCCCGCUUUUUGUCCUUUUCUUUCUCGGCCUUGCAGUUCAGUUCCCUGAUUUGUUGCCCAGUAUCUGAGGUGAUAAGCUUUGGGUGCAUAGUUUUCUCAGCAUCCGCUAUGGGGUACAUUUGAAAUGAGAAAGAUCUUACGAAAGAACAUUAGAGUUAACCGAGUCGUAUCGAGGCUUACCUGUUCUGAAAGUCUGAUUAAAUCGCAUAUACAGAUUCGUUCCACAACACUAACAAUUAAAUUCGCAUAAGAGGAAGUAUAAAUUCAUUACAAAUAAAAGGACCAAGUAGCUAGUAUUUCACCAAGGAUAACCUCAGCUCGACAUCAUUGCUUAUAUUCUUCAAAACACAUUUGGCUACUACCAAAACAUAGAAAAAAAGCAGAAAUGAAUGUACUCACAUGUAAUUGCAGGAUCCUCGUGGUAUGAUCAACAAGCAGGGUAUCAGAGUAUUCUCUAAUCUCAGCCAACUUUUUCUGCAAAGGAAUUUUCAGUUGAAUCCCUCUUUCUCCUUCAUGCAUAACCUUUCUAGAUGUUUUUAUUUGGAACUCGGCUCAACCAACAGCGGUGAUGUUAGAGAAGGUACCUGAUACCCUUUUCCUUUUACUGUAGGGAAGGGAACCCCAACCCCAUUAAAACGUUUGAAAAAUGAUGUGCAAAAUGGUUAAUCCCAAAGUUGGAUCAAAUAGCCUCUAAUCCCUGUUUUAGUAGACCAUUGAUGAUCACGCUCAGGAGCCAGGAUCUCAUAAAACAACGAGAGGAAUUGUUUAAGCUUGCCAGAAGUAGUGAUAAUAACGUAUAAUAUCAUUUAAGCCUCUAAAAAAUGAUAAUAUUGUAAAGGUUAAAAAUACACUCCCUGACUCUUUGUAAAUUUAGAAUUUAGUUUCUAUACUUUUUACUUUUAAAAAUUUAGUCCUUUUACUUUUCAAAAUUCAAAAUUCAAGUCUAACUGUUAACAAAGUUAAAAUUAGUUUGUUAGAUUCAAAUUUAUUACAAGAUUAUUUUUUCAGUUAUAUUAUAUGGUUAUAAAAUUGAUUUUUUUUAAAAAUUUUAAAAUAUCAUUUUAAUAAAUUAAAAAAAUUAACAAUAUUAAUCAUUAAAUCUGAAUUUUAAAAUUUUAAAAUUUGAAAAAUAAAAAAUUAAAUUCUAAAUUUUUGGGAUUUAUUGCAUAUUUUAAUCUGAAAAUUAGAGGAGGCAUUUGUUAAUUUUUUUACGCUUGUAAAUUUCAAGUUUUAGGUUUAUGCUCCCACGCGCGCGCAAGAGGAGUAAAGGAGCCAAUGAAAUUGGAGCGUGUAGAAAACGAGACGCAACUUCCACGUUAAUUAUUGUUUCUUUGUUUGUUUAGCGUAGGGAAAGGUAGAGAACGUCGUUCUGAAAGAGUAAAUUGGCGCAGGCAGAGAGAGAGAGGCAUUGCCAGUCGCUGUCUCUCUCAAAGGUCAAAACUUUCUCUCUCCAACCCCAAAAACACGCUACUUGCUUUCUCUCUCUAUCCCAUCGAUUCAAUUUCUUUGAAAAAAGAAGAAGCUUACAGAUCGAAACCUUAACUUUCGAUCUCUCUCACACAAUUCCUUCGAUCGAGGUAGCUCGUUUUCAUUUUGAUUUCUCUAUGUCAAGAACAAAACCCUAGUUUUCUCUCUGAAUUUCCGCAGUUUAGCACAAAACCCUAGAAAUUCUCAUUUCGAUUUAAUUAGUGCUUUUAUUUGAUUCAAUACUCGGAAUGAUAUAUAUGUUUAGGAGAUGCUGAUUUUUCUUGUAAAUAUCCUUUUGGUUCAGAUCGGGAAAAAAUGAUCGUGUUUGGUUUAGGGGAUUCCCGGAUAGAAGUUCUGGUGGCCGCAAUAGUGUAAUAUUUUGUUAGUCAUUUGGGUUUUAUUGUAGAUUUUCUCUUGAUAAAAGAAUGGAGUAGCCUCAUAUCAGCUGUAUCUUCAUUUAGGGAUCUUUGGAUAUGGAGUUAAUUGAUGAUGGCGACGCCUUAAUCUGGGAGAAUUUGGGAACUCUGAUUGGAAUAAGAUAUAUGGGAAUUGGCUUAGCAGAUUCAAAAAUUUGAGUUCUUGAGUAGUGAAUUUUGCGGGGAGCUAAAUAGAGUUAAAACUGUUAAUGAGUAUUUAGUAUAUUCUCAUCUUUGAAUUUCUGUAGAAAUGAGCUUAGAAAAUGAAGGACAGCAUUCCUUAGAUCAGCCUGCGGAUACCAGUAAGGAACCUCAAAAGUAAUCACUUCGUUCGGAUGAAUAAUUAAUUUUUCAAUGUUUUGCAUAUGUUUUUUGUUGAGUGACGCUGAUGCCAAUUUGUUUUUAAUGACUCAGGAAACCAAGAAUUUCAUACACCAGAGACUUUUUAUUGUCAUUGAGUGAACUGGAUGUUUGCAAAAAUUUACCCCUGGGUUUUGAUCAUUCAAUUUUGAGGUGAGAUUCUUUUUAUGUUCUUGGAGUGUGUCUUAAUAAAAUUGUGAAGAAGGCAAACUUAGAUCUUUUUGGUAUUCAUUGGUAUGUGGUUGGAGCAGUGACUUUGAGGAUACAUCACAAGAUCGGCAAAGAAUUCCUGGCACCUUGUCAGGUUAUAGACGUAAUGAAUAUAGUUCUUCACCACCUACAAGAGGAGACUAUUCCCGGGGCAUUCAUGGACGAUGGGACAGCCGUUCUAGUGGAAAGAAUGAUAGAGACAGUGAUACCCAAUCUGAUUGGGACUCUGGUAAUGUUUAUAGUUCUAUUGUUCUAUUCAUGGUAUGAUUUAUGUUUACUGUUUAUACGGACUAGUAUGUAUUGUGCUUUUUGUUAACACGUGUGGUAAUUCACUUCAUUGCCUCAACCUCCAUGAUGCUUGCUAAAGCCAUUCUUGUAGUUGGGGCUUUUUUCCACUUCAUUUAUGUGCUGCAUACAGCAUCUAAAAAUUGUAUUAUGUUGGAAAUUGAAUGAUUCUAAUGCUACAUAGAUCAUGGAAGACGCCAUGGUAAUCAAUCCCGGCGGUCUUGGCAAGGUCCUGAUCAUGAUGGGCUUUUGGGGAGUGGUUCUUUUCCUAGACCGUCUGGAUAUAUGGCAGGAGCUUCUGGUCCAAAGGUUCGAGCUAAUGACCAAUACCAUCUUAAUAGAAGUAAUGAGCCAUACCAUCCCCCUCGCCCUUAUAAGGUACUCAUUUGCUUUUAGUUGUCAUUUGCAGACAAUAUUGGGACUAGCAUCAUGAUAGCUGUUUUAUCCAUUUUAGCAUAAAAGUAUUAAUUAUUCUGCUUAAAUUAUAUCUGUCUGUAAUGGUAAGAUGAUCCAGUAGCAAUUGAAAUGCUGCUUUAAUAGGUGUUAUUCUUUUCAGGCUGUACCUCAUUCAAGGAGGGAAACUAACGACUCAUAUAAUGAUGAAACAUUUGGUUCCACUGAGUUCACUAGUGAAGAUAGAGCAGAAGAGGAAAGAAAGAGAAGAGGUAGGUUCUCUUUUGUAGAUAACUCUGCUGAUUGUAGUUUAUCUUGUAUUUGUUCUAUCUUCUUUUCUACUCUGGCUUUCUUUUCGAAUAAUAAAAACUGAAGCAUGAUCACUUUCCCUCUUAGCUUCCUUUGAGUCAUGGAGGAAGGAACAACAUAAAGCUUUCCUGGAGAAGAAGAUUAAUCCUGAACGGCGUAAAGAUGACUUCGAUAUUUCUGAAUUGCUAAAGGACUUCAAAGGUGAUAAAGGAGUUGCAAAUAGAAACAAGGAAUCGGAUGAACCUAUUCCAGCAUCAAAUAUUUUUUCUGACAAAACUUCUCUUCACUCACAAACUCCUGCAUCUAGGCCACUUGUACCACCUGGUUUUACGAGCACAGUUUUGGAAAGGAAUGUUGGAACCAAAAGUUCAAUGCACUCCCAUUCUUCAC